GUAGGGAAUAUUGCGCAAUGGGGGAAACCCUGACGCAGCGACGCCGCGUGAGUGAUGAAGGCCUUCGGGUCGUAAAGCUCUGUUGCAGGGGAAUAAAAAAAUGAAUGUACCCUGUGAGGAAGGAUCGGCUAACUUCGUGCCAGCAGCCGCGGUAAGACGAGGGAUCCUAGCGUUGCUCGGAAUCAUUGGGCGUAAAGAGGGCGUAGGUGGCUUGGUAAGUCAGGUGUGAAAGCCCAGGGCUCAACCCUGGAAGUGCAUUUGAUACUGCUGAGCUUGAGUGUCGGAGAGGUUACCGGAAUACCUGGUGUAGUGGUGAAAUACGUAGAUAUCAGGUGGAACACCGGAGGCGAAGGCGGGUAACUGGACGAACACUGACACUGAGGCCCGAAAGCGUGGGGAUCAAACAGGAUUAGAAACCCCUGUAGUCC
rnacentral:rRNA from 1 species